AGGUCCCAAUUUCUUUUUUGGGCAAUGAUCAGGCUUGAGUGUGAAAAAAUAUAAACCAAAAUGUCAACUUCAGCAUGCAGGAAGGAGCAUAGGAGAAUAGAGAGAAAAAAGAACAAAGAAGAAAAAUAACAGCAAGUCAUCCUAAGUAUUGUAGAAACAAACUGAAAUUGUAGUUAGAGAAAAAAAAAGAAAGAGAGAAAAGUAAGGUUCUAUCUGUCGCACGGACUCGAGAGGCCGAGAUGGGAAGACC
rnacentral:lncRNA from 10 species